AAGUAUAAACACAUCGCAUCAAACUCCCGGAACAUGAGGUUUGGAAUAGGAGCCGAUCAAGUGUUUUACCUAGAAGACGAACUGAACCCAGGUUGGUCAGUGGUGAUGCAGAAUAAACUACCUAGAGAUAGAUGUGACACUGGAACUGAUGAAUGCACACGAGACGUAGAAGCUGAGCCAUUCCAUGUUUCUCACCUCACGGAUAUGUUUAAAAAGAAAAGGAAAUAUCAACAUUGGGUAAGAUCCGAUAUUGAGGGAACAAUUGUCGGUGCUAAUGAUAAUGCUUUGAUCGAUGAAGAA
rnacentral:rRNA from 1 species